rnacentral:rRNA from 1 species
CUCAUUCGGAUCGGAGUCUGCAACCCGACUCCGUGAAGCUGGAUUCGCUAGUAAUCGCGCAUCAGCCAUGGCGCGGUGAAUACGUUCCCGGGCCUUGUACACACCGCCCGUCAAGCCAUGGGAGCCGGGGGUGCUUGAAGUGCGUCGCCGCAAGGCGCGCCCUAGAGCAAAACCGGUGACUGGGGCUAAGUCGUAACAAGGUAAC